rnacentral:rRNA from 1 species
GAUGAACGCUGGCGGCGUGCCUAAUACAUGCAAGUCGAGCGAACGGACGAGAAGCUUGCUUUUCUGAUGUUAGCGGCGGACGGGUGAGUAACACGUGGAUAACCUACCUAUAAGACUGGGAUAACUUCGGGAAACCGGAGCUAAUACCGGAUAAUAUUUUGAACCGCAUGGUUCAAAAGUGAAAGACGGUCUUGCUGUCACUUAUAGAUGGAUCCGCGCUGCAUUAGCUAGUUGGUAAGGUAACGGCUUACCAAGGCAACGAUGCAUAGCCGACCUGAGAGGGUGAUCGGCCACACUGGAACUGAGACACGGUCCAGACUCCUACGGGAGGCAGCAGUAGGGAAUCUUCCGCAAUGGGCGAAAGCCUGACGGAGCGACGCCGCGUGAGUGAUGAAGGUCUUCGGAUCGUAAAACUCUGUUAUUAGGGAAGAACAUAUGUGCAAGUAACUGUGCACAUCUUGACGGUACCUAAUCAGAAAGCCACGGCUAACUACGUG